AGGGGUGAGCUCUCCAGUGAGAGCUGCAGGGAGGAUCGCGGAGCACAAAGAGAAGCAGGAAAUCUGACAGGGCUCUCUCCCUGGUGACAGCAGUUUUAAGGGAGGAAAGGCUCCUCCAUCCGAAAGAAAGCACUAGAAGGAUGGUUGCAGAUAAUUCAUAGCUCUGAGUAAACCAAAAUUAUUUAUACAUCAGUCCUUCCAGUACUUCUCAUUAAAUCAUGAUGAGAUGAGAAGAAAGAAGGGGAAGGAAGGAUUUCCUUCCUAACUGACCUCUGCUGUGCAGUUGACUGGCUAAAUCCUCAGUUCCCUCUUCCAGGUUUAAAACCUGGAAAAAAAACUUCUGGGGUUUUACAGUCAGUGAUUCUCAUUUCCAAGGACUCUGAGAUUUUUUGGAAUAAGUGUACUGUGAAACAGCUGAAACAGUUCCUACAUAGCCUCUAAUGCCACAAGGCACUUUCUGCUAUCAAGCCAUCAAUCAAAAUGUUUUUGGUUUAUACCUUCUCCCAGCUUCCACAACCUGUGAUCUGAGUGUCAUGGUUAUUUCUCUCAGAUACUUCCUAUGUUUGGCACUAAGAUGGUUGUUCUAUAGACCACACAAGAAAAAUACAAAUGAGACUCUGCCCUGUGAAUUUUCUCUAUAGUUCUGCAGGUAGCAGAAUGCAGCACCUGUUGCCUGGAUCUAAGAUGUGAGGUGACAACACUGCACUUACCAAGUCCAUGCCACACUUCAACUGAAGCAGAUGGAAAACUAAGCACUGUGAGUGUCAGGUCUGCUCACUGAGGUGGUGUGGGGCAGCAGGGCAUCACGUGCAUACUUUGCUAGAUAGAUAGUUUCUACAUGUUUAAGUCAAUAGGACUGAGGACUUGAACCUCAGGAUUCUCUUAAGAAAACGGGAAUGUUAGUAUACCUCCUGAGUGUCCUAACUGAUGUUAGCCUCUGAUAUAUUACUCACAUGAAAGUAAGGAUCUCCCACAGGUGACAGACACAGAUGACCUGCUCAAGUAAAAUCUUACCUUUAUGUCUAAUAUUGAAGAUCAGCCAAGAUAAAAGCAGGAAGAACAGAAACUUUAUGAACUUGGUGGGCCACUUUUCUUGAUGGCAAGACUUUUGAGAUCCCAAGAUGGAAAAUGAAAGUUUUAUCCACGCUAUUAUGUCGUGUUACAUGCACAUAUAUCGACUGAUACUUAUACUGAUGAAAUAUAGUAUAUUGCACAGAUGACCAUCUCUCUCUAAUCUGCCCCAGUGAGGCCACAUCUGGAGUACUGUGUCCAGUUCUGGGUUCCUCAGUUCAAAAAUGACAGGGAUCUUCUAGACAGUCCAGAAGAGGGCCACAAAGAUGAUUAGAGGCCUAGAGCAUCUCCCGCACAAGGAAACACUGAGAGGCCUAGUACUCAUCAGUCUGGAGAAGGCAGAAAGGGGAUGUCAUCACUGAUUAUAAAUAUCUGAAGGGUGGGAGUGAAACCAAUGGGGGUGGGCACUUUUCAGUGGUGUACAGCAAUAGAACAGGGGCAAUGGAUAGAAACUGGAAAAAAAAAAAAGGAAGUUCUGUACAAACACAAGGAAGAAAUUCUUUGCUGUGAGGGUGACGGAGCACUGGAACAGACUGCCCAGAGAAGUUGUGGAGUCUUCUUCUCCAGAGAUCUUCAAGACCCGUCUGGAUGCCAACCUGAGUGACUUACUGUAGGAAACCUGCUUUAGCAGGAUGCUGGACUUGAUGAUUUCCAACAGUCCCUUCCAAACCCUGCAAUCCUGUGAUUCUGUGAUUUAUUAUGAAUAAACCAAACCAUUACUAGUAUAAUAGCAAUUUAAAAUGUUGGUACAUGAUGCAUAUGUAUUGUAUAAAUUUUCAAGUCUACAUUAUCUUACAAGUGAUUUGUUCUGUCUGACAAGAAAAUAACAUUCAACAUAAAAUCUAGUAGAUAUAUUUAGUAUGAAACUUAGCAUCUCUCCUAACCUGAAAUAUAUGUCAUUCAGUAUUAUUAUCAACACAGAAGUUCUCCAUACCUAAUGGAUUUACCUAUAGCACUUAUACUAGUAAACAUAUCACUAUCAUUCUUAAUUUCUCUUAAUAUUUCAGAUGUUCAACUGAUAAAAUGUAUUGGCAGUCCAAAUUCUUUUAGAAAUAAUAAUAUUUAGCUUAUCUGCUGCAUAAACAAAAUUCAACUGGGAGUAGAAACUCAUCAUAUUGGUGCUAUGUAUAGAAUAAGGCAGUCCAUAACAACUCAAAUUUACAGUCUAGACUGCGCAUAGUGAGUGCCAAAUAAAUGAAACUGCACUGUCCUAGUUUUACGACUGGGGAAAAUGUAGACAAAAAGACAGUUUGUGUGUUUUAUUAAAUAUAAUGCAAAUGCAGUGAUCUGGACUUCAUCCUGCAAAAUAGUGGACCAAGAGGAGUUUUCAUUCCCAGUAAGAAUGUGGAACUUAAUUUAAAAAAAACAAACAAACAAACAAAAAAAAAAAAAGAAAAAAAAAAAAGCAUGUAGAUGUAUACAUGUAGUAUUCAAUGAAAGGUUCUUUAUUUGAAACUAUUUGAAGUCUCAGCAAAAUUGUCUAAACAAACUAAAACUUUGUUUCUGUUGUCACUCUGAUUCAGGUGCUACUUUAAUGUUCACGUGUUCAAGUAUGAGCAAACUAAGAGUAAUCUUCAUCUCUUCAUUGCAAAUAAAAUAGCAAUAAAACAUUUCUUAAUGUUUUG
ensembl:lncRNA